rnacentral:tRNA from 1 species
GCUGUGGCGGUUCGGUAGUAGAAUUCUCGCCUUCUGUGUGGGAGACCUGGGUUAGAUUCCCAGCCAAUACA